ensembl:lncRNA
GAGAGUCAAAAUAGGCCAGUGGAUGAGCAGGGACCCACAGCCACCCCAUGCCAAAGCUGUGUGGAAAAACGGUGCUUGGCAGAGGACAAGGAUCCUAUAAAAAAAGCUCUCUGUCUGGGCCUGGGACAUUCUGAGCAUUCUUCUGUCCUCCACCCCCAGGCAGUGAGAAAUUACUGCCUCUUGUGAGAGUAGGGAGAAAACAACAAGACAGACUGCUUUUAGCAUGCAGGAGGUAGCUGAGUCACCUGCCUGAAGGGCUGCCUAUCCUUUACCUCAACUGGCAGGUAUUUCCUCUCUCGCCGUGCUUUGGGGGAUGCACUGCCUGCUUGAUUUCUACCCUAUGUGACCCAGGGAGAACUGGAAUAGCGGUUCCCUCCAUUACAGAUCCCACAUGCACCCCUUGGGAACGUGAAAGAAAGCAGACCCCAGAGUGUUCUCUGCAGGAAGACCUGAUUCUCUCUGGAUAUGGAAGUCCAGCUACAUAUUAUCCUGUAUCCUGGGUCUGGCUUAUAUUGGGUUUCCCACCCUGAAAAUUAGAGAUUAACUCACUAAAAUCAAAAUGAUGAAAGCAAAGCCCGAAGAAGGCCCAGCGAAAUGACAGCAUACACAGUUGGAAAAACUUGCUUCAGGCCUUAUUCAGUUGUACCCCUUAAUACAAAUAACCAAGCUCAUCACUGUAACUCCAGGGAACUCCAAUAACAUUUUCUCAAGCAAUGGAAACAUUUUUGUAGGGACUUACAUUUUAUUUGCAAACCGGCUAUCUGUUACAACCAGCAAUUCAAAUCUAAGCAAUGGAAUAAUAUUUCAAAAAUGAUUAGAGCAAAACAAAUAAUCACAUGAAUGGUAUUAUUUUGCAAAACAUGCGAGCCUCGGUAAUUUGUGGGUUUUGGUCCCUGGUGCUAAAAUUGUGCUGUAUUUAAUCAAGCUAAUUAUGCAAACCUCCCUGAAGGUCACAAAGGGUUCAGGAGGAGGCCUUUCGAUGCUGGGAUGCAGACCCAACACCCAUAUUACAUUGUUCUGAUUAGAAAUGAAGCACCAUUUUCUUCAGAUUCAUACUGUUCUUGAACGCUCAGUGGGAAACACCAGCAUUUCUAACUUGCAUACUCUGAGAUUGCUUGGCACACUGCUGCAAAAAUCAGCUUUCUUCCUCCUGCUCUCUAACAUGGACAUGGAAAAGAGCCUUCUCUUUCCAUUGCCAUACCUUCUAAAAACAUUACAUGAGAGUUACAGCAUUUAUUUAUUUUCUGGCAGGCAGCCAGAAAAAAAAAAAAAAAAAAAACCAUAAUCCUCUUUCAAAAAUACCCCUCCCUGUGAAUUGGAUUAUGUUGUAAUCCAUUCUGGAUCUAUCCCAGGUCUGCUUGCCUUCUGGGGUGCAAUGACAAUGUUUUGGACGGUCUACAGGGCUGGGUGGAGGGGGUGGACCACCGGCAGUCUAUGAUACAGCCCAGGUUUCUCUCCCACCUCUGAAUUUCACAGCCACUAGGAAAAAAACCUGUACACAGACUGGGCUUUGUCUAUCUGCAAAGCACAUGCUUACCUGAGUUGCUGCUGCUCAUGAAGUCAUGGACAUUGGUGUGUGACGAUUUGGGGGCACUUCUGUUGUGGGGCUUUUCCCUCUGUGCCACCACUGAUGCUGCUCUGCUGAUAUUUCACACGACUCUUCCCCUGUAAACUGUCACUCUUCUUUAUUUCCUUUUUCUUCCUGAGUGGUCUCCAUGGCCACUCGUCUCCAUCUGACUUUGCGGCAAGCUGGGGAUUGCUAGCGUUCUGGAAACCCGAUCUCUGUGUCUCCGGCUGCAGUACAGGGACCAGACCUCUCUUCAGCUCAUAUUGAGGGCAACUCGAUGACAAUCUGAAGGGACUUC